rnacentral:lncRNA from 1 species
UGCUUUGAGCAUUGAUGUUGAUAAUUAUAGUGUAAAGUAAUUGGAAAGGAGAGAACAGAUAAAUGAAAAUGAAAACUACAAGAUUUUUUUUUUUUUUUGAGAGACGUGCUACGCGCUUCAUUUAUUUCAUUUAGAAAUAAACUUAGCUGGAAAUGUGAAUCAACUAGGAUUCGAACUUGGGAUAUCGAGUACCAACCACCAAGUCCUUUGCCACUUGCUCUAGAAACGGUCGGUGGCAAAAGGGCUUGGUGGUGGAUACCUGACCUAAGUUCGAAUCCUAGUUGAUUCACAUUUUCAGCUAAAUUUAUUUUUAAAUAAAAUAAAUGAAGCGGGUAGCAUGCUACAUUUCUCUUUAAAAAAAAGAAAAAAAAGAAAACUACAAGAAAAAUGAAUUUGCGAGUAAAAUUCUACUUGAGUUAGAGCUUCUCUACAUUACUAAAUCGAAUGGCAAAGAAGAAAUUGAAAUACUAACUAGAAAUUGAAAUACUAGCUAUAUUUUCUUUGAAGGGUGUGAAUUAUAUACUCAUCUAUUUUGAAAUGGUAUAUAUAAUUCACACUUAUUUUGCAUGUAAGGUUUUGUUUGGGAUUGGAGGAAGAUUGCGUUACGUGCGGUGAAAAAGUAUGUUGGAAAAAUAUUCUGUUUGUUUUCGUACAUAAUAUUGUGUUCCGCAUAUCGCGAUAAGUCGGUUACGAUAUAUUUUCUGCAGCCCCAUUGGAGAACGCAAAAACAUAUCUCUAUAUGCUUUUUUUUUUUAAUUUUAUUUUAUCUAAUAACGUUUGAUAGACCUUAAUACCAAACUAAGCCUAAGUAGGUCUCCGAGUAAAUUUGUUUCAAAUUAAAUUUCUUGACUUUGACCCAAUC